AAAAGCCAGAUUUAGUACAUAGUUGUCGUCUCCAUAACCCUAAAUUUGGAUCUCUCUGACUCUGAAGAUGAAAGAACAUUGAAACGCCUCCGAUUCACAUAAACAGUUCGUCAUUAAUCUUCUCAUUUGGUCUCAUUUAACGCGAUCAUCCACUACCUCUCAUUAAUUUCCCACCACCGCCAUCUUUACCUCCUUCGCAAUCUCUCACCUAUAAAAAGCAUCUCCUGCUCCAUGGUCAUUACAUAUUCAUUACGCUAUUCUUCUCUACCCACAGACACUAAUCUUUUAAACCAUAGUUACCUCCCAGAUAUUGCUUUCCGAUUGGAAGCCCGGAAGUUGUAGUUACACAUUUCAGCUCACGGUUACUGAGUUCAAUUUCUUUUUUUCACCAUAAGUCAUUUAGUGUUUCCUGGAUCUUUGGUCGCAACCAGCCACUACUUGGACUGCAUGGUGGAGACAACCAUCCUGGAGAUGAUAUGGCCUGGAGAAAAUUGUGUUUCAUGCAAGUACUAUUUUAGUGACUUCUCCUCAAUCAACAAGCACCCCUCGAAGAUAAUAAUGAGGUGUCUGGACCUGGAGAUGCUGUGCAUACGACAUGGAAUCCAAGACUGAGAUUAUUGAUGAUCCGCAGCGCUAAAGCACUUUGGAACCCAUCCAAGAAGGCCCAUAAUUCUUAGUUUCCUGAAUGGUUCACUUUACAGGAAUGUAUCUAUCGUUUCCACCUAUGCUUUAUCUUAUUUCGCUCAUUUUAUGUUUUCCAAAUAAGGGUUAGGACUUAGGACACUUCAAUUCUACCAUCCAGUUUUAACAUUAGUCUCUUUUUUUGGUUA